UUUAAAAAUCAAAAGUUUUCAUUAUCAGUCAUCACUGAACUACUAACUCUAACUCCCACGCCCAAGCCUUGCUACCCUGAAACCCUCAGUGUCGCAUUGUCAUGGUUUCACCUUUGUGUCAUUGCGUCGCACCACCACUGUUGUGCUCUUGUGUUGGUGUCAAUGUUAAAGGUGUGAACCCUCACUCUCACUUUUGCCUAUGCCAUGUCGCGACGUCGAAGGUAAGAACCCUAACCAUUGACAAGUUUCACUAAAUACUUGUUAUAUACUGGUAGAUCUAGUUUGGUAACUUAGUUAUUUCAGAUGGUUGUAAAAAUUUCAUUGACAUUUCUUGUAUUCCCAACGAAGGAAGUUCAUACACUUUUCUUCACUGUAGAAAAAUCAUAUAUAUAUAUUUCAAUCACUUAAUCAACAAUCAGAAUGACCCAUCAAUAAAAACAUACUUAUAAGAAGAUUUUACAAAAUAGUUUGUUUCAAGUAAUUUACAUUUUAUUAAGCCAUCUAUCACAAAUAUUUAUAUUGGAAAAGAAUACAGAGAGGCAAUCAAGAGGAUUGAAUUCUUAAUGUAAUAGAUUGCAAUUAAGAGAGACAAUCAAGGGAAAUUUAGUGUAUUGUGUAACAUAUUUAUAGAUUUUGGGGACUGUUAUCCGUCGCCGAGUGUGUCUAGGAGCUUUUACUAUGGUUGUUUCAAUUUUCCUCUCGUAAGAGCUACCACUCAAUUCUUUUGAAAUAAAUAACACUCAUACACUAGUUUCAUAUAUUUAGUUAGUUACAGAAGGAAAAUUUUAUGUCCAUGUUGUGUUAUUCAAGAUUUUUUCCAUAUGCAAUUUUACUAGCAAAUGUCAUUUUACUUAUUAGAUUUUAUAUGACCAAUACAAUAUUAGGAAGUGCAUUGUUCUUUGUUGGGAUUCUCUUAGUGAAGUGAGUAAUAUUUAUCCCUAAGAACUCUUCACUUCUUUGGAUGUGUAUGAUUAUUAUGUUGCAAUAUCAUUAUGACUUUCUUUUCCAAAUGUAAUACUAAAAUACUAGACCAAAUUAGUUGUGACCUUCAUUUUGUGGCAGUGUUUGAUGUGCAUUACUUGUUGUUAAAUGAUUAUUAGUUGGCAGGUUUGCAUGGAGAGGGAAAUUCAAGAAUUUUAGUUUAUGGGAACAAAAUUUAUGCACCAAAAAAUAGAACUCUUAAAACUAUGGAAGAAAAUCAACAAAAUUGUUGUUUGUUAUAUUACAACAACUACAUGUAUUAUUGCCACAAAUUCUUGAAGGCUUGUCCCUUCUCCCUUAUACAUAGGUCUGUCAUUGUGCAUGAACUUAGCUAUACUAAACUUUAUGCCAGAGCAGUUGGUUUCAAGUUCACUUAAUCUCUGAUUUAAAAAAAAAAAAAAUUCUUUUAUCUUACCUUACUAUCUCCAAAUCUCCAAUUACCCAACUCUCUUAUGAUUGAGUUUUAUUGUUGGGUGUUUUAACUUAAACUUGAUUACUUGGCUUCUCAGGAAUCUAAAAUUAAAGAAAUAGAAGAGAAGCAAGUAUAGUCAAUUUGACUUCAGCCACUGCAUAAUUUAAUUAUAGACAUUUUUUGGGUUAUGAAUAUUGUUUAUAUCUGUGAUUUACGGUUUACCAACUUUAAUCUGCUUAGGUGGCCAUAAUUGAAGGAGUGAAGAUGUUGUGUCAAUUUACCAAGACUUUGGAGAAUAGUAGAUCCACAUAAUAUAUUCAAGCAUGAACCAGACUUCCAUUACAAUGGAUAUUUUUUUCUAGCUUUGGCUCUGCCGUGUUAAUUUCAUAUAUGCUUUUAAUUAUCUUAUUUCAAUUUGUUUGCUAUAUAUAGUAUAUAAUAUAAUAUGCUAACACAUUUUUAUAUUAUAUAGGCAUCUUCAUCUAAUUCUUCUAGGCCAACCCUUGAGUUGCCACUAGUUUCACCCUUUUCCAUGGUAAGCAUUUUUCCCAACUCCCAUUUAUCAAUGCAAUUUACUUUUUGGGAGAACUGUUAUUAUCAAUUAAGCAUAAUAGGAUAUUUUAUAGGAUGUCUUAUUGUUAGUUUAAUAGUAUUUUUUUCAUUAGCUUAGUAAAUUUAUUUAACUAUAAGCCAAAGAAUGAAUGUAGUCAAGUUUGGUUUUAUAUUAUAGUUCCCCCUUCCCUCGCCCCUCAAGGUUUUCCCUUGUUUACUUUCCAUUGAAAUUUGAUCAUAUGUUUACCGUGUAAUCUGAAUUAUACAGGGUUCGCAGUCGGGUUCCACUAGGCUAUCUCUUGAGCCACCAUCUGUUAUACCAUCAUCAAGGGUAGCUUCUAUAUAAAUAUACAAAUAAUGACUUGAACCUGUGCUAGUCUAUUUUGAAUUACGAUUAUAUUUCCCGAACAUGCAUGGUCUUGGUAUCUGCAUGGUUCGGUAGGUGGAUAGUAAGCAAAUUUAUGAUUAUAUUUCCUGGACAUGCAUGGUCUUAGUAUCUGCAUGGUUUGGUAGGCGAAUUGAGAUGAAUGUAAACUUGCCUUUAGCAUAAACAUGAGAAAUAGGAAAAAAAUACUUAUUUUCACUUUGAG
rnacentral:lncRNA from 1 species